ensembl:miRNA
AUUUGAAUUACGUGGAAAUCUUGUUAAAAUGCUGAUUCUGGGAAAGGUUCUGAGAUGCUGCAUUUCUAACAAGCUCCCAGGUAAUGCCAUU